GGACGAACGCUGGCGGCGUGCCUAACACAUGCAAGUCGAACGGAGAUAUUUGGAUUGAGAUUCGAUUGAUUGAAGAGAUAUCUUAGUGGCGGACGGGUGAGUAACGCGUGAGUAACCUGCCCAUAAGAGGGGGAUAACGUUCUGAAAAGAAACGCUAAUACCGCGUAACAUAUUCAAAUCGCAUGAUUUGAAUAUCAAAGGAGCAAUCCGCUUAUGGAUGGACUCGCGUCCGAUUAGCUUGUUGGCGGGAUAACAGCCCACCAAGGCGACGAUCGGUAGCCGGACUGAGAGGUUGAACGGCCACAUUGGGACUGAGACACGGCCCAGACUCCUACGGGAGGCAGCAGUGGGGGAUAUUGCGCAAUGGGGGAAACCCGGACGCAAGCAACGCCGCGUGAAUGACGAAGGUCUUCGGAUUUGUAAAAGUUCUUUUGUUGAGGACGAAAAGAAUGACGGUACUCAACGAAUAAGCUCCGGCUAACUACGUGCCAGCAGCAGC
rnacentral:rRNA from 1 species